AUGGCUGUCGUCAGCUCGUGUCGUGAGAUGUUGGGUUAAGUCCCGCAACGAGCGCAACCCCCGUCCUUAGUUGCUACCAUUUAGUUGAGCACUCUAAGGAGACUGCCGGUGAUAAGCCGCGAGGAAGGUGGGGAUGACGUCAAGUCCUCAUGGCCCUUACGGGCUGGGCUACACACGUGCUACAAUGGCGGUGACAAUGGGAAGCAAAGGGGUGACCCCUAGCAAAUCUCAAAAAACCGUCUCAGUACGGAUUGGGCUCUGCAACCCGAGCCCAUGAAGUUGGAAUCGCUAGUAAUCGUGGAUCAGCAUGCCACGGUGAAUACGUUCCCGGGCCUUGUACACACCGCCCGUCACACCAUGGGAGUUGGUUUUACCUGAAGGCGGUGCGCUAACCCGCAAGGGAGGCAGCCGACCACGGUAGGGUCAGCGACUGGGGUGAAGUCGUAACAAGGUAGCCGUAGGGGAACCUGCGGCUGGAUCACCUCCUUUAUCACCUCCUUUCUAAGGAUGACUCUUCAGAAGCGCUCACGCUCUUCUAUCGGGUUUCUUGGAAACAUCAGUGGCCAAUGAUCGUCAGGAUCGUUGAGCUGCAUUGGCGGGAUUUCGCCGUCUUCGUUUCUCUUUCUUCGCGGACGAACACGCGCCAGGGGCGGCGCUUGUGCUCAUGAUCCGGUUAAUCCGGUGGAGCGCGCUGUCCCUCGUCGUUAGGGGCUUGUAGCUCAGUUGGUUAGAGCGCGCGCUUGAUAAGCGUGAGGUCGGAAGUUCAAGUCUUCCCAGGCCCACCAUUCAAUCAAGCGCAGCAUUCGUCUUCUGGUACGGGGCCAUAGCUCAGCUGAGAGAGCGCGUGCUUUGCAAGCAUGAGGUCGUCGGUUCGAUCCCGUCUGGCUCCACCAGAUGGUUUGAUUGACUGGCUUGAUCGAUGUUGCUCGAUUAAUUUCGUCCGCGGGAACAACGCUUCGCAUGUCUCAUUUAUUACAGAUGAGGUGUGCGGGAUUUCUGACAUCGUAAAGAGGAGAUCGAUCCGAGUUUGGAUCGCAUGCCAUGCCAUGUGCGUGGUGAGCGUCCAUUCACUAUCUCCAGGUCAUUUCGGCGCCCGUUCGGGUCGUGACGCAAGUUGCGAUGUGUGCGGGUUGUGAAUGAUCCUGUUAGCGAAGCAUGACCGCCUCGCUAUCGGUUCGAUCUUACGAAGCAAGCUGGUCUUUCUAAUCAAUAUCCGGCCGCAUCAAGCAUUCAUCGAGGGUGCGUGCGUAAAAGGCUUUCGAGCUUUUGGCGCGUGGAUGCGGACGACAUUCUGUCGAGUGUGUGGAUAUUGAUAAUGAGAGCAAUCAAGUGCCUUAAGGGUGUUCGGUGGAUGCCUUGGCGCUGAGAGGCGACGAAGGACGUACUACGCUGCGAUAAGCCGUGGGGAGCUGCGAAGAAGCUUUGAUCCACGGAUUUCCGAAUGGGGCAACCC
rnacentral:sRNA from 1 species